GGGCCCGCACAAGCGGUGGAGUAUGUGGUUUAAUUCGAUGCAACGCGAAGAACCUUACCAGGGUUUGACAUCCUGCGAAUCUCUUGGAAACGAGAGAGUGCCUUCGGGAACGCAGUGACAGGUGGUGCAUGGCUGUCGUCAGCUCGUGUCGUGAGAUGUUGGGUUAAGUCCCGCAACGAGCGCAACCCACGUCGUUAGUUGCCAGCAUUUAGUUGGGCACUCUAGAGAGACUGCCGGUGAUAAACCGGAGGAAGGUGUGGAUGACGUCAAAUCAUCACGGCCCUUACGUCCUGGGCUACACACGUGCUACAAUGGUCGGUACAGAGAGCAGCCACUACGCGAGUAGGAGCGAA
rnacentral:rRNA from 1 species